rnacentral:lncRNA from 1 species
GCAAUAAUAAUUUUCCAACUUCUCUCUCCUCCGCCCACCUCUCUCUCUAUCUUCGCCUCUUACCCUUCCCUCCCUCCUACCGCUCAUUGCAAUCAAAGAAGAAUGACAGCUGAAAAUGAUACUCACAACCACCAAGUCUCUUCAAGACUAUAUAUCAUAAUCUCUUACAUUGACUCUGUAAAUCUAGAUCACCAAUUCACCAUUCUUUUGAAUUCUUAUAGUUUUCAUUUCUUUUUUUAAGAAAAAAAUUAUACCACUAAUUGUUGGUUGUGAGUAUUAUGAAUGAAGUAUGUACUUUUCCUGCCUAUUGUUCUUCAUCCUUUUUUUCCCUUCUCUGUAAAUUUUACCUAUAGAUCUAUGUAUUGCAUGUUGCUAGUUGAAGAUAAUAACCAAGCAAGUUUUACAAGAAGGUUUUAGGCGAGUCAAUGAGGUGUGGUUUGUAGAUGUUGUUGAUCUAGUUGCCCUCAGAAGCAACACCGAUCUGGUUAUGGUGUUGGUGAUAUUUGUUUUUUUUUCUUCUUCUUGUAGUUGAGGUGGAAAAUGAAGAUAUACUAUAAUACCAGAUCUGAUUCUUAGUAAAAAUAAAUGAUUAUGGUUUUUGGUAUUAUGAUUUUCUCUCUCUUGAUUUUCUGGGUUCGAGUGUGUUCUUACAAAUUCAAGAACAAUGAUUUUCUGAUUUUCUUGAUUCUACGGAAUCAAUAAUUAUUUUUUUUGUCAAAAAGGAAUUAAUAACAUUUAUUGUCUAUAAUAAAAAGAAAAGAAAAACGUUUCCAACAUAUAUUUAUUGUCCAUAAAAAAAGAAUUAAUAACAAUGAUUUUCUGAAUUAAAAACGUUUGCAACAUUUUUUUUUUUUGUAAGAAAAGAAAAACGCUCCCAGCAUACAUAAUAGUCAUUCCAAAAUUUUAAUUUUAGUUUUUUAAUUUUUUAUAUACAUAAUGAUUGUUUUAUCCUAAUUGCAUAAAUGGAAUUACAUUAUUGUAGGACUCUCCUUGUGCAAAUACCAAAAAUAUAACAAGAAACCCACUAUAUAAGUAGUCCUUCUUCAAUCUAAGCCAUUGAAUUUUUUAAUAA